rnacentral:rRNA from 1 species
UACAGAGACUGCAAGCGUUAUUCGGAUUCACUGGGCGUAAAGGGUGCGUAGGCGGUUGGGUAAGUCUGUCGUGAAAUCUCCGAGCCUAACUCGGAAACUGCGUCGGAUACUAUUCAACUCGAGGAAUGGAGGGGAGACUGGAAUUCUCGGUGUAGCAGUGAAAUGCGUAGAUAUCGAGAGGAACACCAGUGGCGAAGGCGAGUCUCUGGACAUUUCCUGACGCUGAGGCACGAAAGCCAGGGGAGCAAACGGG